GAAAAACAUUGCACUGAGUUGCCCAUGAAGCACAGAAGAAGACAGGGCAUCUUCAUUAACAUUGAGAUUUUGCUGAAAGAAGAAGUUAAUGGAAAUCAUCUGUAUGCCCUGCAGAACUGGAGAGCCCCUUUGUCAGUGAAUGGAGUUGCAGAAAGAAUUACAGUGAGAUGUCCAGUUGGAUUAUGACACUAUGUCAUCAUUGGGAUCUUGGAUCUUAGACCAGGAGAUGAGAUGAGCAGCCCUGAGUUGGGAACCAUAGAAGCAGACAAAUCUAGGGAGGAGUCUUGGACUAAAUUUUAUGUUGUUCCUUUGUCUAUUAAUCAUGUCAACUCCAGGAAGUGGGGAGUUUUGACCUAUAAAGCAUGUGUUGAGUGUGUUUUGAAGCCAGUGGGAAAUGUUACCUGCUCACAUGCCUGAUUUAGUCAUCAAUGCACAUAAUCUACUGAGAACCAUUGCGCCAGACAGAAUAACAAUGGGAUGAUGGCAUCAUAUCAGGCAUCAUAGAGCGAAGUUUCCAGAUCUGGCUCAAUUGUGUGAAUCCACAAAUCUCUGAGGCAGCCCCAUGGGUGACACCAGGUAGAGUCAAGGUAUGCACCCCUGUGCACAUCAAUGGAAAGUUUAAGAGCAAGAUAUGGAGGGGUGUUUUUGUCCAUCAUGGUGACAUGACUGAAGAGCAUGCAAUGCUGCUUUUGAAUGUAGUGAGUGAUUGGAGGAUGACGAGAUCUCUGUGAGAUUAUGGCAUUUUGCACAAAGUUGUCUCAGAGCACAGUUGUUUUUCUGGCCAUAAGCGAGACAUGGACUCAUGCAGAAGGCAGCAAGAUCUAGUCAUCAGAGGAUAUGUGGUUUGCUGCAAACAUAUGGACGCUGCUUGCAGCUUACGUAGAUGAACUUGUUAAUGCUUUCCAUGAUGCUUGAUCCCAACUACAUCAGGGGUUCUGCCAGUCAUUGCUGAGGUUCUGGAUCCUACUCUUCUGGCAUAAGAUGUUCAACCCCAUAGUUUGGACAAUAUCUUGCAAACCUUGAAGAGCAGGCCUGAAAUUCUCUGGCUUCUCCACAGGCAAAAAGCAAUGUCAAUCAGCAUAGUCUUGGUUGGUGAACACUUCCUGAUCAACCUCCAAUAGACCUAAUGAAUUAGUAAUAUUAUGUAAAAACAAUUGAUUCUGCUGUCCAAAAUUACGCUCAUAAUACUGCCAAGGUCAGUGUCUGUGUGGCCAGUCUGCUAUAUAUAUAAUAGUCAUUUCUUUUUGGCAUUGCAAAUGCUCAAGAUGUGCCAGUGAAAUGUUCCUUUGCAUGGUGAAUAUGUUGUGUUGGUAAAUACCAUUUCUAUAGGAGAGUUGCAUGGCAGGAUUUUUCUUUUUACUGUAGACAACAUUAAAAUUGAAUUUAAACAAGGCAUGAAGUCCUGGACUAUAAAAAGGGAUGUUUCUGUAUGUUACUGUACCUAUCAGAUAAGGGAGUUAAAAUCAACAUUUUAAAAGGAAAUUAUCAGAGCCAGAGAAAAUUAAGUCAAGGAUGUUGAUUUGAGAAUGUGGGGCUAGCUGGUGUUUUUGUAAAGAGUCCCUGGAUUUACAUUUUUUGCCUUCAUUUCAUCAAUUAGAACAGCAUAGGCGGACAGAUAUAUGGAUGAAAUACUUCAUAUGGUUGUCUUAUGUGUUAUGCAAUUCUAUAUUUAGCCAAAAAAAAGAGGCUAUUAAUGGAUUCAAUUUGGUUUCUGUUUCUUGGGCCAAGUAUCUGAGACAUGAUUUAAAAUAAAAACCUUCUUAAAGAAGCAAAAGAAAGUGGCUGGAAGUUGAUCUAAGACACAUUCGGACUGGAAAUAGGCAUAAUUUUUUAAGUGAGGGUACUUUACCAAGGGUUGCAGUGGAUUAUCCAUCAUUGACAAUUAUUAAAUCAAUAUUGGAUAUUUUUGUUACUAGAUCUGCUCUAGCAAUUAUUCUGGGGAAGUUCUAUGGUCUAUGUUGUACAGGGAGGUCAGACUAGAUGAUCACAGUGGUCCCUUCUGGCCUUUGAAUCUAUGAAAAAACAAUUUAAUUCAUGAAACAAAACAAAUGAAAACAACAAUUAUUGCCAAAUUCAAUUUUAUAAACUUUCUUUCAAUAAAAAAAUUGGACCACACGGACACAAAAGAAAAAAUAGGCACUGAACAAUGUUCUUGUUUACUUCCAAGAAAAAUGUUAUUUCAUUUUCUAAACAGAAGGGGGCAAAAUUAGGAAUGUAUAAAUUUAGUCUUGCUGAAAACAGUGCUGAACAAAAUUUUAGGGCCAAAUUACAUCUACUGUGUAUGUGCGUGCUAGUGUGGACUGAGGGAAGAAAAUGAGAAGGUAUCUAUCGUUAUUCCCUCAACCCCUUUCUACCAGCAGAAGAAGCAGCCAUAUUGUUGCUCCUUGUGCUCUUUCAGUAUAUAGAGAAGAAUGACUAGUUCUGCUGGAUGCAUUUAAUGCCCCAAGAUGGUAAGGAAUGUAUCCAGGGUCCUUCCAGCCACCUAUGCAUAUGAUCGUGUCCUCAGGUCAGCAUGGGGGGAGCACUCACAUUGCACCAUUUCAAAGUUGCUGCAAGUGCUGCUCCAGGCACACAAGCAUUAUUUUCCUGACUCUACCCCAUUGAUGCAUAAUACAUCCAGUCUCUUGGGCACUACACUGUUAUCCCUUGCACCCCAUGUGCUUGUACUACACAAGUGUCAAGGUUCCUUCCCUAAUCUGAACUCUAGGG